rnacentral:lncRNA from 15 species
AUGCCUGCUAAACAUCCGCAUAUUAACCAACAUAUUACUGUGAGCAUGUUAGCUGAUGUUAGCACUUAGCUCAGAGCACCACUGUGACUGAGGCACAGCCUCUCAGAGCCAGCUGGCAUUACUGCUGACUUUCUUCUUGUCAUUUCUUUACAAAUGAACAACCUGCAUCACCUGCAUCUGAAGGAAAGCGGGGCAAAGAACACACGGUUUGUUUGUGGAGUGUUAUUCGUGCUCUAUGACCCUCGCAUUUCUGCCUCUUAAUGAGUGGAGGCUCCAUUUUGAGAUUAGUCUUGUUGAUCAUCUCGGAAACAAGGCUUUCCUCUGUGUCAAGCUGGUCAAGGAAUGGGAUAAGUCAACUCCAGAUAAUCCAUAAGAUCCUAAAGUCCACUGACAUUCUUGUCAAUGAGAGCAUGAGAGUGGAUGAUAGACACCAUGACCUACAGGAAUUAGAGUAUCUGAGAGGAGUAUUUGGAUUGCCUAAGCCUAUGGAUUUGCAUUACCCCGACCUUUGAACUUUUAAUCUCAAUGUUAUUUAAUCCUCUGGAAAGAGUAUAGCUUCAGACAACAUGAUGGGUGGAAUAGAUCAACCUAGAUACCACAGUGGAGAUGGGUGACAGUGAUGGUGGCUGUUAGUGAAGGCAUGCAGGGGCUUAAGAGGUUAAAUGUGUGUAUUAGCAGGGCUAUUUUGUCUUGAGUGGUUGAGAGGAACCUUCUGUAUAAUUUCGAUAUCCAGCUUCUGAAAUCUGAAUUUAAAGGAAUUUCUAGCCAAAAACCGCCAUCCCUCUUGCUCCUGCUUGGACUUGUAACUAUGGGCCCCCCACCAACCACAACUAAUAAUCAUAUUCAUGAAUAGCCUAAUGUGUCACCCUUGUGAAUCAACAGAAGAAUGCCUGAAACACAUUUUGUAAAUCCUGGAGCAUGCAUGGUUUAGAAAGCCUGCGGUUAAAUUGUUUAGAACUCUGACAGAAAAUGUUAGUACGACUUUUGACUUCUAGUCGUGAACCCAACUUAUAAAGAAAACCAAUGUUAGAUUGAGAACACACAGACGAUAAAGCAGAGUAAACUGAGGAAGUGUUUGAUGCUGUUGGUUCAAACGGCGACUCCACUGGCAUGCUGGCAUGAGAACUCAUGGAAUGCCUAAUUGAAUCUUGUCAUCGUUGUGUUCAGGAUGUGUUGGAUGUGGAAAAGUCAAUGUAGGUGAAUAGUAAGAGUCACACGCUACACACAUUACUUCUCAUCAAGCCAGACACUAACAGACACACAACCACAAGUGGUAUUUGCAGAUUAUUAUUAUUAUAACAAUGCUUAUUUGCUUUCUUGCUGAGAUGAUGAUUCAUGUCAGUACUGUAAGCUUUACUUAGCUUAGUGUAAAGACUGGAAACGAGGGGAAACCGCUAGCCUAAAUAACAUAUCCACUUUAAAGCUGGUAGGUGUAUAUGGCCAAGAAAAAGCCAGGCCCACAACACCCCCAUAACACUGAAAUGCAUAGUUUUUAAACUUUUUGCACAUAUUAAACCAACAAAAUACAUCAAUAGACCUUUUUCACAGCAGAGAGAGACAAACACAAAUUAAGAGAGCCUUUUCCAGUGAGCCAACAUGCACAAUAGCAGCACCCUGACUGACCUGAAUGACCGAGAACCUUAACUGGUAUCACUGGUAACACCCGCGUUUACCCUACUAUUUCAUGUCAAAAUGGCUGCUUUGCAAAACGUGUGUUAGUGAGCCUUUAGGUGCUGGUAGACAGAUUUUGUUCCUAGACAGCAGGGAUAGCUGUUUUUCCUUGUUUCCAGUCUUUGCGCUUAAGCUAAGCUAACUGGCUGCUGGCCAGUAGCUUCAUAUCCACCUUACAAUGAGAGUGGUAUCAAUCUUUACAUUUCAUAAAAUGUCUAACUAUUCUUUUAACAAAGCUUUCUUUGUUAAUGUCCUGAUAUGAAGGGAGUUUCAGACAUUUGGGGUACUUGAAAGAGAG